rnacentral:rRNA from 1 species
UACGAAGGUUGCAAGCGUUGUUCGGAAUCACUGGGCUUAAAGCGCACGUAGGCGGCCCUUCAAGUACUUUGUGAAAUCCCACGGCUCAACCGUGGAAUUGCUUGGUAUACUGUCGGGCUUGAGGCAGGUAGGGGCGCGUGGAACUCUUGGUGGAGCGGUGGAAUGCGUAGAUAUCAAGAGGAACGCCGGUGGCGAAAGCGACGCGCUGGGCCUGUCCUGACGCUGAGGUGCGAAAGCUAGGGGAGCAAACGGG